rnacentral:rRNA from 1 species
AUUGAACGCUGGCGGCAUGCCUUACACAUGCGAGUCGAACGGCAGCGCGGGAGCAAUCCUGGCGGCGAGUGGCGAACGGGUGAGUAAUAUAUCGGAACGUGCCCAGUAGUGGGGGAUAGCCCGGCGAAAGCCGGAUUAAUACCGCAUACGACCUGAGGGUGAAAGGGGGGGAUCGCAAGACCUCUCGCUAUUGGGGCGGCCGAUAUCAGAUUAGGUAGUUGGUGGGGUAAAGGCCUACCAAGCCUGCGAUCUGUAGUUGGUCUGAGAGGACGACCAGCCACACUGGGACUGAGACACGGCCCAGACUCCUACGGGAGGCAGCAGUGGGGAAUUUUGGACAAUGGGCGCAAGCCUGAUCCAGCAAUGCCGCGUGCAGGAAGAAGGCCUUCGGGUUGUAAACUGCUUUUGUCAGGGAAGAAAUCCUCUAGGCUAAUACCUUGGGGGGAUGACGGUACCUGAAGAAUAAGCACCGGCUAACUACGUGCCAGCAGCCGCCGCGG